rnacentral:miRNA from 1 species
AAAGUUGUGUAUCUAGAAAAG